GCCUACGGGGGGCAGCAGUGGGGAAUAUUGCGCAAUGGCCGAAAGGCUGACGCAGCGACGCCGCGUGGGGGAGGAAGGUCUUCGGAUUGUAAACCCCUGUUGCCCGGGACGAAUCCUGGUUUCGACCAGAUUGACGGUACCGGGUGAGGAAGCACCGGCUAACUCUGUGCCAGCAGCCGCGGUAAUACAGAGGGUGCGAGCGUUGUCCGGAAUCACUGGGCGUAAAGGGCGCGUAGGUGGCUUGCCAAGCGUGUGGUGAAAGCCCGGAGCUCAACGCCGGGUCGGCCAUGCGAACUGGCAGGCUGGAGCACGGUAGAGGCCAAUGGAAUUCCGGGUGUAGCGGUGGAAUGCGUAGAGAUCCGGAAGAACACCGGUGGCGAAGGCGGUUGGCUGGGCCGUUGCUGACACUGAUGCGCGACAGCGUGGGGAGCAAACAGGAUUAGAUACCCCAGUAGUCGU
rnacentral:rRNA from 1 species